GGGCCGGCCCGCGCGCCUGCGCGCGCCUCUCCACACCCUGCUGCAGAGGCUGCCGGGAGAUGUAGUCUUCCAACCGUCCUCCUCGCGAAGCGCUAGCGGUUAGCCGGGAACCAGUGGAGAGUCCGGAGUCGUGGCUUCAAAAGAAGAAAGACUGAAGCCAGACAAGCAGAGGUCACAGAAUACAAUGGCUCACAUGCGACCAGGUUUAUCAAAUCAAUCUAAACACCCACGGAGAAGCAAGGUGAAAGAAAUGGGGUAGCUCUAUAACACCGGAGCUAGACACUCUCCUGCUGGCCUUGAAGAAGCGAGCUUUCAUGUUGAGAACUGCCUAUGGAGAGGGCCACGUGGCAGGGAACUGCAGAUGGUUUCUAGCACCUGGGUGCAGCCUCCAACUGACAGCCAGUAAGAAGCCAGGGCCCUCAGCCCUACAACCACAAGGAAAUGAAUUCUGCCAGCAACCUGAGACGGCUUGGAAGUGGAUUCUUCCCCAGGCAAGCCUCCAGAUGAGAAGACAACGUGACUUACACCUUGAUUGCAGCUUUGUGAGACCCUGAGCAGAGGAACCAGCUCAGCUGUGCCCGUAAUCCUGGCCCACAGAAACUGUGAGAUAAUAACUGUGUUUUAAGACACUAGGUUUCUGGUAGUUUGUUCCACAGCGAUGGAAAAGUAAUAUACUAGAUAUUGCCAGAUUAUUUCACAAAGUGGUUGUGCCAGCUUAUGCUCCACAAGCAGCUGAUAAGGUUUUCUUUUCUAAACAACCUUGCUAACAUUUGGAAAUGUCUUUUUCAUUUUUGCCAAAUGGAUGGGUGUGAAAAUACAUAAUAAUUAGACACAUAUAUUAACAUAAAAACACGAAAAAUAAGUUUUUACUUGCAAUGAUGUAUUCCCUUGUAUUUUUUUCUGUUGCAUAAAUGCUAUUACUUACAAUAGCAAUAGGACUCAUUAAAAGUGGCAACUAAUAAUAAUUAAUAGAAGGACUAAUUAAGAAAAUAAUUUGUGAGAAAAAUACAACCUUUUAUAGCAUAAUAUAUAUAUAUAUUUAAACAUCUUUAUUGGACUAUAAUUGCUUUACAAUGGUGUGUUAGUUUCUGUGUAUAACAAAGUGAAUCAGCUAUACAUAUACAUACAUUCCCAUAUCUCCUCCCUCUUGCGUCUCCCUCCCACUCUCUCUAUCCCACCCCUCUAGGUGGUCACAAAGCACCGAGCUGAUCUCCCUGUGCUAUACAGCAUAAUAUUUUUAUGUUUCUUUCUGUCCUCUGGUUCAGCAACUUAUUUUAACUCUUUCUUAAACUCUUUAUCACAUAUUCAAAUUUUGUAGGCUAUAUUAUUCUAUAUUCUAUAUGUAUAUUAAGAUACAUAAAUUAGGAAUUUUAUGAAGGAGAGUAUAAAUACAGUAGAACUAGUUAAACAGAUAUUACUCCUAUUACAGUUUUAAAGAAUGAUGUGUUUCUGUCCCAUGAUACAGUGGGAUAUUUUUUAUUCUUUUUGUUUCCUUUUUCAUCAAUAUUUCUCUGAACUGCCUGGAGCCUUUAAGACAUCUUUUCUUUUAUGUAAUGGUAAAACCAAAUACAGCCAAAUAUAAAAUUAGUUUUGACUUGCAGCUCUGUUCCUCAGCCUGCAUUGCACUGAUUCUUGUUGUUGGCACAGAUGACAUCAAGCUAAACAUUCCCUCAACAAAAGUGUUUGAGCAUCGAAUAGUUAGGAUUUUAAUUACUAAUGCAGCAGGUUUUUAAACUUGUAGGAAUUUGUUUCUGGUUCUCCAAAAUGUCCACCCAUUUUGUAUCUACAGACUUGCUUUGGUAAACCAACUGUUUGUCAAUCAGGUCCUUUGCAUAUAUAAAUUAACCAUUUCUGUAUCUAAAAUGCCCAUUGUUUUUAAAACAUUCUGAAGCACAUUGUAUGUUAUCAUAAGUUAAACCUCUCUUCCCCAGCAAAAAUGGUUUUAAAGCAUAGAGGUAAUUUGAACUUGUGAAAUUGAAGUUAGAUUCCAAAUAAAUUUACAGUUUUAGUGAAGAAAUUCAGAAAGUCCUGUUUAAUUUGGUUACUUUUUUCUAGGGACAUUUUUUUUUAAGUUCUGAAACAGUCUUAUUUCCAAAAAUUAGUCUUUUUUUUUCUGUUUGAAGUUUUUGUCGCAACCUGCAUAUAACAUUGAAUAAUUGAGAUUCAGAUGGUUCAUCCUUUUCUAGACUUCUUACGACCUCUUCAAGGAUUAUCAGACAGUUUUGGAGAACCAGCAUGUUUAUUUCUGUUUCACUGUAAUUCUUCUCUCCGUUCUCAUCCUCAAUGUAUUUCCAAAUUGGAGCAGGACAUUCUUCUUGUUCCACGCUUUGAAAAUAUGAUUUUAUGGCAGGCUGACAUUAUAACGUCUUUUCUAUGGCUGGCAACAAUGAUCGCCAUCUUGUAGGUACAUGUUUAAGGAAGCUGUCUCCUGCCAUUUCUAUAGUCAAAAAUGUCGUUAAAUGCUUCCGCACAUUUUGAGGAAACUGAAAUGCCCAAACACUUUCAUUAUGAAAACUUCUGUAUCGCAGGUAAGCAAACCACACCCCUCUUUAAACAGUGUUCUGUAUAAGAUGUUUAGCCGAUGAGAUCGUUUCAUUUUCUUUGAUAAGAAGUUUAGAGAGUGAAUAGAAUUUGUCAAAAUUAACAUUUGCCCUGAAAGCAAAUAAAUAAGCCAAGUCUACUUUGUCUUUGGACAGAUAUAACACACUUUGUUUUAUGUGUUUGUGGUUUCGUUAAAAUCUUAGACAUCAAGAAGUCAAUUUGAAACUCCAUUUUUCAAGUCAAAUUACCUUAAGAGCUAGGGGAGACAUUUUCUGAAUCAGGAAAUAAAACCUUACUCUGUUCGGUAGAGCAAUGAAAGGCACGAUACAAUAAUGCAUAUUGGUUCAUGUGAUACGCCCAAGAUAAUUCAGCAGCCACUAUUUUCAACUGAGCAUUGGUGUCUU